GCCCAGGUAGCUCAGGGGUAGAGCAGAGGACUGAAAAUCCUCGUGUCUGUGGUUCGAUUCCGCCCCUGGGCACCA
rnacentral:tRNA from 1 species